GGCCGCACUAGUGAUUAGAGUUUGAACCUGGCUCAGGAUGAACGCUGGCGGCGUGCCUAAUACAUGCAAGUCGAGCGAACCACUUCGGUGGUGAGCGGCGAACGGGUGAGUAACACGUAGGUGAUCUGCCCAUCAGACGGGGACAACGAUUGGAAACGAUCGCUAAUACCGGAUAGGACGAAAGUUUAAAGGUGCUUCUGGCACCGCUGAUGGAUGAGCCUGCGGCGCAUUAGCUAGUUGGUAGGGUAAAGGCCUACCAAGGCGACGAUGCGUAGCCGACCUGAGAGGGUGAACGGCCACACUGGGACUGAGACACGGCCCAGACUCCUACGGGAGGCAGCAGUAGGGAAUCUUCGGCAAUGGGCGAAAGCCUGACCGAGCAACGCCGCGUGAAUGAUGAAGGCCUUCGGGUUGUAAAAUUCUGUUAUAAGGGAAGAACGACUUUAGUAGGAAAUGGCUAGAGUGUGACGGUACCUUAUGAGAAAGCCACGGCUAACUACGUGCCAGCAGCCGCGGUAAUACGUAGGUGGCGAGCGUUAUCCGGAAUUAUUGGGCGUAAAGAGCGCGCAGGUGGUUGAUUAAGUCUGAUGUGAAAGCCCACGGCUUAACCGUGGAGGGUCAUUGGAAACUGGUCGACUUGAGUGCAGAAGA
rnacentral:rRNA from 1 species